CCUACGGGCGGCAGCAGUGAGGAAUAUUGGUCAAUGGACGAGAGUCUGAACCAUCCAAGUAGCGUGAAGGAUGACUGCCCUAUGGGUUGUAAACUUCUUUUAUAAAGGAAUAAAACGAGGCACGUGUGCCUUUUUGCAUGUACUUUAUGAAUAAGGAUCGGCUAACUCCGUGCCGGCAGCCGCGGUAAUACGGAGGAUCCGAGCGUUAUCCGGAUUUAUUUGGUUUAAAGGGAGCGUAGAUGGGUUGUUAAGUCAGUUGUGAAAGUUUGCGGCUCAACCGUAAAAUUGCAAUUGAUACUGGCAGUCUUGAGUACAGUUGAGGUAGGCGGAAUUCGUGGUGUAGCGGUGAAAUGCGUAGAUAUCACGAAGAACCCCGAUUGCGAAGGCAGCUUACUAAACUGUGACUGACAUUGAAGCUCGAAAGUGUGGGUAUCAAACAGGAUUAGAUACCCUUGUAGUC
rnacentral:rRNA from 1 species